rnacentral:lncRNA from 1 species
UUAAGGUGGGGUGGCAAUACCGUGCAUCUAAUAUAUAUGCAUGGGACAACCAAAAUGAGCUUCCCUCGUGAAAAUGUAGUGGGCACCAUUGCUCCCUUGUCGAUCCUCUCCUCCAUUGGAUUAUACAUAUAUGUUCCCUUUAACUCUCUGAUUAGUCAAUUGAUUCAUUACUCCUUUGCCUUUUAUAUAAUUAAUGAAACCUUAUGCAUCAAACACACUAAUAAUAUCUUAGGAGGGAUCAGAAAGAUGC